rfam:Salmo salar isolate Sally breed double haploid chromosome ssa05, whole genome shotgun sequence.
UGAAUGCACUAACUGUAAGUCGCUCUGGAUAAGAGCAUCUGCUAAACGACUAAAA